UACGUAGGGGCUAGCGUUGUCCGGAAUCAUUGGGCGUAAAGCGCGUGUAGGCGGCUCGGUAAGUCUGCUGUGAAAGUCCAGGGCUCAACCCUGGGAUGCCGGUGGAUACUGUCGAGCUCGAGUCCGGAAGAGGCGAGUGGAAUUCCUGGUGUAGCGGUGAAAUGCGCAGAUAUCAGGAGGAACACCAAUGGCGAAGGCAGCUCGCUGGGACGUGACUGACGCUGAGACGCGAAAGCGUGGGGAGCAAACAGG
rnacentral:rRNA from 1 species